CAAAGCACCCGUGUUGUGUUGAUGCCAAUUCGUGUGAAGCAAAAACGUGAAGUUUUUCCUAUAUUAUAUGAACUUGCAGCAAUACUACUGUGAAAGUAUGGCAUUUCGGUACAACUUUUGUGCAGUAUUUGCUAUUUAAAACGUUAAUACCAAUUCAUGAAAAUAUUUUCUGGAACAAUUUAAGCUGCAAUCGUUUUCCAAGCAAACGGCGAGGUCUUAAGCGUAGUGUAACGCAUACGGCCACCAUUGCAGGUUGUUCGAGCCGGGAGAUCUCCCUUGAGCCCAGCUGGCUGGGUCAGCUGUCGAGUGACGCCGGAGGCCCGGGUUCGAGUCCACAGCGGAGGGGGGCCGACCUGAGGCGGCAGCGGCUGGGGCGCAUACCCACGUGAACUCUGGAGAAUUACAAUAGAAAAUGUUGCCUAUACAGUCAGUAACAGGCCUGGAGGUGGAAAUGUCAAAUAUGUGGCACUAAGUAUCAGGAUGUUAAGGCCGUGGCCCUAGGAAGCAGAACUCGAAAUGGAUAUAUUUAACUCCCGGAAGAUGAAAUCGGCUGUAACAAUCGAUACACAGUCAUCGCUGAAGUUAAUAGUCAACGCUGGAGUUUGGGGCAACUGGAAACCGCCCAAAAUGGCUUAAUUUAAGCAAAGGUAGGCGUCAAGUCUAACAGAAAGGCUGUUGCGGAGCCUAGCCACUGCAGCGCGCCUUCUCCGCAGAUCUCUGGGCUGUGCGACACUCGCUCCGGCGCGCUUGUGUGGCGGAUUUGGGUAAAAACCCGACAGAGGACCUGAUCGACCCCCCUCAGGGACUGACCGAGGGAGGAUUUAGUAGAGACACACGGCGUUAUCCGACACUCUCUCCUCCAGCUGUGACGCUUGUUAGCUGAAGAGGCCUCCCUGCGCGCACAGGGUUCUCACUAUCCCGGACAACCUCGGUGCGCUAGCAGGUCAUGGAGAGGGAUGAAGUCUGCGGGUGGGGUGUGGCCGGUUGGCACGCCGACAGAAGAAAAAUGACCGUAAUGAACUGAAGAUCAAGUCAAUCAAUGGUCCCUAUUACAUAACUGUAACAGUUAUACGUAGCACGGGCUGUUUCUCGUAACUAAUUAACUCAAAGACAGGCUUAUUCUGUUGAACUUGUAAAAUAAAGGCUUACUUGUGCCUUACAGUGAAGAGGCCUUUUUGUUCGUCGCUUUUAUUAAAUGUAACAAAACCACCUUGUGACUGUAAAACAAAAUAAGCUUUUGAAUUGUACAUGGUAGUGUUCAGUGGAAUAGGAUUUUUGCGAUUGCUUU